UUUCCCUUUAUCCUAUACUCAAAGUUCAUUUGUUUUGUUGCCACAUUUAGUUUGAACCAUAGAUAUAGUAGGCAGAAUUACCUUUACUUGGCAUGCUCAUAUCAUACUAUUUGGGCCUUUUUUUGGCUAUGUAAUAACUAUGGAUGAUUCUUCAUAAACAUACAUGUAUACUUUGCAGAUGUUUUCUAUCUGAUAAACAAAACCUAUAGCCAGUACCAUAGGGAAUAUUUUGCAGUGUGCCCCAGAUUUCCGGUCUUGUCUUACUGGUGGUAUAUGUAACAUGAGACUUGCGGAAGACGAUUAACUGGAUAAACUUUCUAGGAUCAAUCAAUAUAUCUCAGGUUUUUGCCAUCAAAGAAAAGUUCAACAAAAAUUGUAAAGAACUACAUCUACUCUACCUCAAAUCGCCUAAAUAGGUGUGAAGUCUUUUCCACGAAGAUCAAAAGUGGGCAGUGAUUGUGUGCCAUAAGAGUUCAAGAAACAAGCUUGAAGUAGAAGUCCAUGGUUCGGAAUUAGAUAAUUUGUUGGAGUCUUAGCAGCAGCCAACCUGAACCAUAUCAUCUUUGUUCUGCUGCUGUUGAUGUUCAUGCGAGGUUGGAACCUUGAACGAGGUAUCAAAUAAAGUUCACAAUGCAUACCUAAAGUUGUUCCUGAAAGUUGAGCUUGAACUGCUAUGUUGUGGAGGGCUGUUUGUGAAAAGUGCAAGGAAGCCAAUAGAAAUCUUGUCCAAUUAAACAAAAUGAUAGGAUAUGCUCCUGAUGAAGAGAUCAAUCGUUAUGAGGUGCUCAUUCCUUCGACUGUUUAGGUCUGGGCUACCGGGUUGAUUGGCCCGCUAGCAUUAUUUUGACUCCUGGUGCAUUGAAAAUAUAUUCCGAUAUAUUCAACUUUCUCAUUGACUGAUGUAUGGUGCUCAUUAAUGGAUGUAGUGCAGUUGAUCUGUCAAAUACGUCAUUGUACUCUACAUGAACGAGAAGUGGGCCAUUUUAACAUGUUAAUGAAGUUCAGGCAUA